UGCAAGUCGAACGGUGAAGCGAGAGCUUGCUCUCGUGGAUCAGUGGCGAACGGGUGAGUAACACGUGAGUAACCUGCCCCAGACUCUGGGAUAAGCCUUGGAAACGAGGUCUAAUACCGGAUACGAGACGAGAUCGCAUGGUCAUCGUCUGGAAAGAAUUUCGGUCUGGGAUGGACUCGCGGCCUAUCAGCUUGUUGGUGAGGUAAUGGCUCACCAAGGCGACGACGGGUAGCCGGCCUGAGAGGGCGACCGGCCACACUGGAACUGAGACACGGUCCAGACUCCUACGGGAGGCAGCAGUGGGGAAUAUUGCACAAUGGGCGCAAGCCUGAUGCAGCGACGCCGCGUGGGGGAUGAAGGCCUUCGGGUUGUAAACCCCUUUCAGCAGGGAAGAAGCGAAAGUGACGGUACCUGCAGAAGAAGCGCCGGCUAACUACGUGCCAGCAGCCGCGGUAAUACGUAGGGCGCAAGCGUUGUCCGGAAUUAUUGGGCGUAAAGAGCUCGUAGGCGGUCUGUCGCGUCUGCUGUGAAAACCCGAGGCUCAACCUCGGGCCUGCAGUGGGUACGGGCAGACUAGAGUGUGGUAGGGGAGACUGGAAUUCCUGGUGUAGCGGUGGAAUGCGCAGAUAUCAGGAGGAACACCAAUGGCGAAGGCAGGUCUCUGGGCCACUACUGACGCUGAGGAGCGAAAGCAUGGGGAGCGAACAGGAUUAGAUACCCUGGUAGUCCAUGCCGUAAACGGUGGGCACUAGAUGUGGGGCUCUUUCCAUGAGUUCCGCGUCGCAGCUAACGCAUUAAGUGCCCCGCCUGGGGAGUACGGCCGCAAGGCUAAAACUCAAAGGAAUUGACGGGGGCCCGCACAAGCGGCGGAGCAUGCGGAUUAAUUCGAUGCAACGCGAAGAACCUUACCAAGGCUUGACAUAUACCC
rnacentral:rRNA from 1 species